CCUACGGGAGGCAGCAGUAGGGAAUUUUCGUCAAUGGGCGCAAGCCUGAACGAGCAAUGCCGCGUGAACGAUGAAGGUCUUCGGAUCGUAAAGUUCUGUUGAAGGGGAAAAAGAGCGGAGAGAGGAAAUGGUCUCCGAUUGAUAUUACCCUUCGAGGAAGUCACGGCUAACUACGUGCCAGCAGCCGCGGUAAUACGUAGGUGGCGAGCUUUAUCCGGAAUGAUUGGGCGUAAAGGGUGCGUAGGCGGCCUGCUAAGUCUGGAGUGAAAGGUACCGGCUCACCCGGUACAGGCUCUGGAAACUGGCGGGCUAGAGAGCAGGAGAGGGCGGGGGAACUCCAUGUGUAGCGGUAAAAUGCGUAGAUAUAUGGAAGAACACCAGUGGCGAAGGCGGCCGCCUGGCCUGUUACUGACGCUGAGGCACGAAAGCGUGGGGAGCAAAUAGGAUUAGAUACCCCUGUAGUC
rnacentral:rRNA from 1 species